UCCGGCCGGGAACUCAAAGGAGACUGCCAGUGAUAAACUGGAGGAAGGUGGGGAUGACGUCAAGUCAUCAUGGCCCUUACGAGUAGGGCUACACACGUGCUACAAUGGCAUAUACAAAGAGAAGCGACCUCGCGAGAGCAAGCGGACCUCAUAAAGUAUGUCGUAGUCCGGAUUGGAGUCUGCAACUCGACUCCAUGAAGUCGGAAUCGCUAGUAAUCGUGGAUCAGAAUGCCACGGUGAAUACGUUCCCGGGCCUUGUACACACCGCCCGUCACACCAUGGGAGUGGGUUGCAAAAGAAGUAGGUAGCUUAACCUCCGGGAGGGCGCUUACCACUUUGUGAUUCAUGACUGGGGUGAAGUCGUAACAAGGUAACCGUAGGGGAACCUGCGGUUGGAUCACCUCCUUA
rnacentral:rRNA from 1 species